UCAUUUACAUACUUGACAAAAAUAAAACAUAAACAUAUGGUACAAGAUAUGGAAAGUGCAUAAAUAAAAAAAUAAAAUAAGAUCUAUGUACAAUAUCUACCAUUGUACGAAAUCCACAGCGGAAGAUCACAACAUCACAACAACUUUGAAACAUCAUCAAGCAACUCCUCUUAAUCAAACUUGCAAAAACACCUGAAAAAUAACAACAUUGAUGGGGUCAGAUAAUAAUCUUAGUGAAUUCCUCUAUCCUAUGGGUCCACUCGACUCUACAGGGUUGCUACUUGAUUUCUAACUCAAGUAUUCACCUUCUGUUACUUGUGUAUCACUCAUACAAUGUAACUAGGAUUUGAGCAACUUAGGGAUAUUCACAAUGUAUGGAAACAUGUCACUUGAGUUCACAUAACUCAAUAAAUUACUAUUCAGAUUCAUGAAACAUCAAUCCCUGAACGAACCUACAUCUAAGCCAGACUCGGUUCACGCAUGCUCAUAUGAUUCGACUUUCAUGGUGGAUAUGGAUCCUCUAUGAGGCUUAAUCCUCAGUUCAAGAGACCGUCAUGUGUAUGGGACUCUAACCCACUUUAAGUAUCUUUCACCGUAUGAGACUCUAACCCACUUAGGUGUCCACCUUUCCCCCAUGUCCGCCAUGGUUGGGGCUCAAUCCUAAUUCUCAUGGUGAUCAUAUCCACUCAUCCACAAAGUAUUCCACAUGUUCCUACAACCUAUAUUGAUUCAUAAUCAAGCGAAUACUUGUUCAUAAUACGCACCAAGGUAUCAUUGUAUCCAAGUAUCACCAUAUACUCAUUUCCAUAACCUAUAUUAUCUUUCUAAGUCAGUCUCCUAGUUAUACUCCUAGGUUUCCUCACUCAUAUUUAUAAAGUUUUAAUCAGAUUAUUUCACAUCCAACAAUAUCCAAUCAAUUUACAGCAUAUACAUUGGCAUAUCAAAAUAUCAUACAUGAAACACACAUAGUACCAUAAUAUGUCACAAUAAACCCUAGGCAUACUCGACUCACAACAUACUCAUCAUUAUCUUAGGUUAUUCAAGUCGUUAUACACAAAUAAGUCUAACAUAAUGAAAGCAUACAAUCAUCACUAUCCUCUACCAAAACUUAUUGGCUAGUUCAUGGUCUCUCAUCACCAUGCAAUAUCUCAUUGGAUUAGUUUUCCAAAGCUUCAAGUCUCACAUUAAUCGGAUUCACGAUUCUUGAAUUAUGAUGGAAACAAGAACCACAUAUUUUAACCUAACUAAUAUUCUAGGUUAAACCCAUCCAAUCUCAUGUAAAUCGAUUGAUUAUUAUUAAAUUAAUUCGUACACGUCAUGGUACAAGUUAUAAUACAUCUAAGAUGGUUUAGAAACAUGAAAUAAGUGGUUUUACACAAAACAAGGUUGAACCAAUCGAUUUCACUAGGAGCCAAUCGAUUGUGUGAAUUACUGGCUUUUGUUUUUGUGAAAUUAGACAGGACCAAUCGAUUGGGGUACUAUAUCCAAUUGAUUGACAUCAUCAAAAUUCAUCUUUUUCUUCAUAAUUCAUGAACCAAUCGAUUGGUUCUGCAACUUUUCUGCCACUAAUUGAUUGUCACCUGCAUAAUCUCCAAAAAUACCUCUUUCUAAACACUCUCUCUUUCAAUUUUAAUCAUACCCAACCAUUCUAAAACAUAUAUUUUCAUGAACCCACACCAAAAACAAGGAAUCAUGAGGCAUAUAUAUUUGGAACAACAUUCAUGUGAAAUCGUAGAAUCAAAGACAACAAUAACAACAUUGAGAAAUAAGAACAACAAUAACUUAUAAUCAUGAACUUACACAACAACACAAGCAUAAUAUUCAUCAUAAUCAAGUUCCAUGAUCACUUCAACAACACAAGCCCUAACUUCCCAACCAUUGAUUUUCCCACCCAAAGCUAAAUUUAACCGUGGAACUCACCUUGCUUAAGAAGAAGACGCUGAAAUAGAAGUUCUUGACGAUGAUAUGGUUAAGAUGAUGAGUUUUUCCAUGGCUUUUCUC
rnacentral:lncRNA from 1 species